AGAAAUUUAGGUUAAUUUAGACCCAAGGCCUUCAAAUCCUUAAGCAGAAGUUAAAAUCUUCUAAUUUCUG
rnacentral:tRNA from 1 species